GCCUGCUUGAGUCCCUGCAGUGUCACAGCCCCGUAACUGAGAGUCCCCAGCAGGCCAGUCCUCAGUAGACACUGCUCUGAAUGUCUGCGAGCCACCUGCCAGCGGACGUAUCAGGGCGGUGCCUUUUGAAGUCAUCUGACUGCUCAUCUCUGGGGAAUGCGUCAUCUAUUAGGUGGCGAGUUGAUGCCGGUGUCUAACACAGCACUCUGGAUGGGCUCACCCAGGCCAGCGGGAGUUCUCAGCCCUGGCAGCCGGAGGGGAGCGUGGGGUGCGCACAUCUCCUUGAGUCAGCUUGUGUCCCCUCAGCAGAGGGGUCCACACAAGCGGAAAGACGCACCAAAGACUCCCCUGCAGAGCAGCGAAACGAAGGAUCCUCUCCGGUGGGAUUUAACAGCUUCAAAGCUAGAGACAGGAGGCGGCAGUCCUAGCUGUGUGCACUUAGGAACUGUCGGUGACAAAAGUGUGCUGAGCUGUGUCAGGAGGUGGCACACUAAAUAGCAAACCAGCCUCAGGAUUUUUCAGAGCCUUUCAAGGAGCCAGUGUCCAGCACAGAUCUUCAGGAGAGGAUGUAUUUUAACCCAGAUCCCUCCCCCGUCUACCUCUGAUUCCUCUUAUGAUGGGGAAGGAUGCCAGUUUCCACAGAGUGCUGCAGGGACCCCGGAGCCCAGGGAAAGGGCCAAGACUCGCAUUUCUAGAGCUGAUAAGAAGGAAACCAUUUAUUGCAUUGGCUCCCGCCUAAAGGAUCGCACUGAGCCGCCUGCAGAGAGAGAAGUGUCUGGGGGCUCCUAGGAGGAGCCCAACCAGAGGGGACAGCAGACGGCAACCACCCCGGGGGUUCACCAACGUGUGAGCAGCUGUCGGCCAGUUGGACUAUAAAUAAGGAUGACAGAACUCCCUGGGGUCUCCCUGGCCUGUGGGGAGGCUCAGACAGCGGUCAGCAGCCUUUCUUCACAGCAGUAUCAGCACGUGAUGUGGCAAGGCCAGCAGAGCCCCCAGGAGCCCCAGCCAAGGAGAAGCUCGGAGACCAAAACCAAAGGCCAUCCAGGCCUGGGACAUUCUGAUUCUACCCAGCAGUCAUGUGCUGAGCCCCCACCAGGAACCAGAAAAGGUGGGCAUGAAGACAGAGAGGUGAUGGAGACCCCCGUCCCAGGACCUUCAGGGCUCUGCCCCCGGCCACCACCACGGCCAGCAUCUCGGCUGUCCGGCCCACCCUCUUAAGCCCUUUGCCACGAGGUCCUGAAAUCCCCGUUAAGCCAGCUGUACUAUUUGCUCUUUUUUUUUCCCCAAUAAACACUCAUCGUGCUUCGUCCAUGUGUCAGGCACAGGGCAGAUCCAAGAGCCUUGGCCCUGAACAAAAUAAAUGACUCUCCCGUGUGCUGUGGUCACAGCUGGAACCUCUCACCUUGAACCUGGAACAUCUUUCUCCCCGCUCACUGUCGAUGCCGUUUGCCACUGUGCCGCCACUGUCACCUUUCUGCGGGGUCACUGUCCCUGGUGCUCCCCGCUCUGGGGUGGGCAGCCCUCGUCUUUCUGUGGACCUGGUCCCU